rnacentral:rRNA from 1 species
UGAGUAACGCGUGGGUAACCUACCCCAAAGUCCGGGAUAACAGCGGGAAACCGCUGCUAAUACCGGAUGCCUUUACCUUGGGGCAUCUUGAGGUAAAGAAAGGCAACGCUUUGGGAUGGGCCCGCGUCCCAUUAGCUAGUUGGUGAGGUAACGGCUCACCAAGGCGACGAUGGGUAGCCGGCCUGAGAGGGUGGACGGCCACACUGGGACUGAGACACGGCCCAGACUCCUACGGGAGGCAGCAGUAGGGAAUAUCGCGCAAUGGACGGAAGUCUGACGCAGCGACGCCGCGUGAGCGAUGAAGGUCUUCGGAUCGUAAAGCUCUGUCCUUGGGGAAGAAGGUCUUCGGACUUGACGGUACCCAAGAAGAAAGCCCCGGCUAACUACGUGCCAGCAGCCGCGGUAAUACGUAGGGGGCGAGCGUUGUCCGGAAUUACUGGGCGUAAAGGGUGCGUAGGCGGCCCUUUAAGUCGGAUGUGAA